CUUGAAACACUGGUUCUUGUAUGGUCACCAAAGUUAAGCAACGUUGAGCCUGAUCAGUACUUAGAUGGGUAACUAUUUGGGAAUACCAGGUGCUGUAA